UCCUCCCUCUUUCUUCGUGCUUAACACAUGCAAGUCGAACGGUGAUGCUCCAGCUUGCUGGAGUGGAUCAGUGGCGAACGGGUGAGUAACACGUGAGCAACCUGCCCCAGACUCUGGAAUAAGCGCUGGAAACGGCGUCUAAUACUGGAUACGAAACUGGCCCGCAUGGGCAUGGUUUGGAAAGUUUUUCGGUUUGGGAUGGGCUCGCGGCCUAUCAGCUUGUUGGUGAGGUAAUGGCUCACCAAGGCGACGACGGGUAGCCGGCCUGAGAGGGCGACCGGCCACACUGGGACUGAGACACGGCCCAGACUCCUACGGGAGGCAGCAGUGGGGAAUAUUGCACAAUGGGCGAAAGCCUGAUGCAGCGACGCCGCGUGAGGGAUGACGGCCUUCGGGUUGUAAACCUCUUUCAGCAGGGAAGAAGCGAAAGUGACGGUACCUGCAGAAGAAGCACCGGCUAACUACGUG
rnacentral:rRNA from 1 species